UCCUAAAAUAAAAAACACCCAAAUUCUCAUUCUCUUCUCACAUCUCCUUCACAGUAUCCGAUUGUUACUUCUUCUUCUCACAUCGUUUCCUCCGCAAUAUCAUCAUGUGAUCACACAUCAUCAUUGUUCAAUUUCGAGCCACUCAAGAAACAAUCACGAACCCUUGUUGUCAGAUCACAAUCAGAUCACAAGCAAGCCAGAGGUAAUCUCACACCGUCGUCAUCGUUACCAUCACUCCGACCCAGAUGUAAUCACCUACUUUGUUCCUCAUUGUUUUGCAGUGAGACAGAUGGAAAAUUGUCAGUUAGAGAUGUAGUGAAAGCCAUCUCCACCACAGAGUACUUGAAAUUCAAAGAAAUGCUAUAUGAUGAUAAUGGCAAGAGAUGAAAAUGCAUUGGAGUUGGAUUUUGCAGCAAUUGAACCCGCUGUUCCUCACUUAACCCUGUCAUCUUCAAUAGGAAAUGGACUCAGUAUUGUUUCCAUGUUGAGUGGAAGAUUGGAAAAUGCACAGCCUCUUGUGGAUUACUUAUUAUCACUAAGUCAUCAAGGAGAGAUUUUACAUGCCAGAUUACCAUUGAUUCCACUAAACAAGCGAAACAUACAUUGGCUUCUAGGGCACGUGGACUUGAAAGAGCAUCAUAUGACUAUUUAUGACUCAUAUAAGGCUGUCAAUCGAAAUAGAGGAGAUACGUAUUUUAAGAAAUUAUGCAUUAUGCUACAUUAUUUAUUGUAGUCUACAUACUUUUAUGAGGAACGGACGGAUCUUGUAGACUCCGUUGAUGAGUUUAAAGUAAUGGUGGUGACUAUGGCAUUUUUACACUCAAGUCCAUGGAGUUUUUACAUGCUAGAUUACCAUUGAAUUUCACACAAGAUGAUGUAGAGUCCUUAAGGAGGAAGUAUGCUCAUGAGGUUUACAAUAAAGAACUAAGCAUAUGAGCUGAGUGGUGAUGCAUUUUUUCUUUACUUUUGUCAUGUUUAUAGAUCCAUCUUUUUUAUUAUAUUUGCCUUUUAAAUGUAAAGAUAAUGAUGGCUUAUAAUGUUCAUUUAACGAAGAUAAUGAUGUGUUUUGAUGUAAGGAUAACUAAUUUAGCUUAUAGAAAAUGUGCCAUGUUUAUUUAUUAGAA